rnacentral:tRNA from 1 species
GAUCCGGCGGGCUUUGGGCAGGCCGGGAGGCUCGGAACCUCGAAGUGCGAGUUCGACUCUCGCCCGGAUUACCA